UACGUAGGGGGCUAGCGUUGUCCGGAAUCAUUGGGCGUAAAGAGCUCGUAGGCGGACUGUCACGUCUGCUGUGAAAACCCAGGGCUUAACCCUGGGCUUGCAGUGGAUACGGGUAGACUAGAGGCAGGUAGGGGAGAAUGGAAUUCCCGGUGUAGCGGUGAAAUGCGCAGAUAUCGGGAGGAACACCGGUGGCGAAGGCGGUUCUCUGGGCCUGACCUGACGCUGAGGAGCGAAAGCGUGGGGAGCGAACAGG
rnacentral:rRNA from 1 species